AUGAGCAUGUUGUCCAAGGGGCUAUGUUUGUUAGGGUUAGGCUCCCGGGCGGAAAGCCAACAGUUCACUGGAGAAGUGCUGGUGGCAGACAACCAAGUGGACCUUGCUAUAGUUCGAUUGGUUAAUGUGGAGGAACCGUUUCAACCUAUUGUGUUCGCGGAUGUAUCUAUUGAUAACUUUCCAUGGACGGCAUAUGCUCAUGGAUAUUUCUUGGUCCUUGGAGCGCCGGUCAUCAACCCUGCGAGGGCUCCCGGUGAGAUUAACGGCGCGUUCUUUCGAAAUAAUGUUCACUACCUACAAGGGGAUUUCGCAUUUCGGCAUGGAAUGUCCGGUGGACCAGUUACUAUGGGAAACAGAGUCAUUGGAGUCAGUACCGCAGUUGCGUGGGGACCGAGCGUCAUUAUUUCCCUGCAUACUGUACACAUGACACUUAUGUUUUGGUGUGGUCUUAAUGACGGAGACCCUACUAUUGAUGAGAUGCUAGAAAUGCUUGCUGCUGGUGCCGCCUAA
rnacentral:rRNA from 1 species